rnacentral:rRNA from 1 species
UACGAAGGGGGCAAGCGUUGUUCGGAAUUACUGGGCGUAAAGCGCACGUAGGCGGAUACUUAAGUCAGGGGUGAAAUCCCGGGGCUCAACCCCGGAACUGCCUUUGAUACUGGGUAUCUCGAGUCCGGAAGAGGUGAGUGGAAUUCCGAGUGUAGAGGUGAAAUUCGUAGAUAUUCGGAGGAACACCAGUGGCGAAGGCGGCUCACUGGUCCGGUACUGACGCUGAGGUGCGAAAGCGUGGGGAGCAAACAGG